CAGCUCUCACCUGAUGGCAAAAAAUCUCGCUGGGACCUCCAAAUGUUGUAACUGAGUGAGGUACAGAGAAAUGCCACACUCUGAGAUGAAUUCAGGAGGCCUUUAUUA
rnacentral:pre_miRNA from 10 species